rnacentral:rRNA from 1 species
GGCGCACGGGUGCGUAACACGUAUGCAACCUACCUUAUACUGAGGGAUAGCCUUUCGAAAGGGAGAUUAAUACCUCAUAACACAUUGAACUGGCAUCAGUUUAUUGUUAAAGAUUUAUUGGUAUAAGAUGGGCAUGCGUCCAAUUAGUUAGUUGGCGAGGUAACGGCUCACCAAGACGAUGAUUGGUAGGGGAACUGAGAGGUUAAUCCCCCACACUGGCACUGAGAUACGGGCCAGACUCCUACGGGAGGCAGCAGUAGGGAAUAUUGGGCAAUGGAGGCAACUCUGACCCAGCCAUGCCGCGUGCAGGAAGAAGGCGUUAUGCGUUGUAAACUGCUUUUAUAUAGGAAGAAAUAGACCUUGCGAGGUAAGUUGACGGUACUAUAUGAAUAAGCACCGGCUAACUCCGUGCCAGCAGCCGCGGUAAUACGGAGGGUGCAAGCGUUGUCCGGAUUUAUUGGGUUUAAAGGGUGCGUAGGCGGUUUAUUAAGUCAGUGGUGAAAGACGGUCGCUCAACGAUUGCAGUGCCAUUGAUACUGGUAGACUUGAGUGGGAUUGAGGUAGCUGGAAUGGAUAGUGUAGCGGUGAAAUGCAUAGAUAUUAUCCAGAACACCAAUUGCGUAGGCAAGUUACUAAGUCUCAACUGACGCUGAGGCACGAAAGUGUGGGUAUCAAACAGGAUUAGAUACCCUGGUAGUCCACACUGUAAACGAUGAU